rnacentral:rRNA from 1 species
GUGGGGAAUUUUGGACAAUGGGCGCAAGCCUGAUCCAGCAAUGCCGCGUGCAGGAAGAAGGCCUUCGGGUUGUAAACUGCUUUUGUACGGAACGAAAAGGCUCUGGUUAAUACCUGGGGCUCAUGACGGUACCGUAAGAAUAAGCACCGGCUAACUACGUGCCAGCAGCCGCGGUAAUACGUAGGGUGCAAGCGUUAAUCGGAAUUCCUGGGCGUAAAGCGUGCGCAGGCGGUUUUGUAAGACAGACGUGAAAUCCCCGGGCGCAACCUGGGAAUGGCGUUUGUGACUGCAAAGCUGGAGUGCGGCAGAGGGGGAUGGAAUUCCGCGUGUAGCAGUGAAAUGCGUAGAUAUGCGGAGGAACACCGAUGGCGAAGGCAAUCCCCUGGGCCUGCACUGACGCUCAUGCACGAAAGCGUGGGGAGCAAACAGGAUUAGAUACCCUUGUAGUCC